AUGGCUCCACGACUAAGUCCUUCCGCUAGGACAUCUGCCGUGUCAACUCCACGACACUACUCGAUAGUUCAGUGUGCCAUGCUUUACGGAUUAGAAUCGGGACUUCAAAGACGUUUUGAACGUCAUGGAGCAUAUGAGAUGUUCCAGGAGUUGAAGUUAAUAUUUCAAGCAAAUGCCCGAGUUGAGAGAUAUGAAGUCUCCAACAAGUUCUAUAGCUGCAAGAUGGAGGAGAAUAGUUCUGUCAGUGAACACAUACUCAGAAUGUCUGGGUACCAUAACCACUUGACUCAGCUGGGAGUUAAUCUUCCUGAUGAUAGUGUUAUUGACAGAGUUCUUAAAUCACUGCCACCAAGCUAUAAAGGCUUUGUGAUGAACUAUAAGAUGCAAGGGAUGGAAAAGACAAUUCCCGAGCUCUUCGCAAUGCUUAAGGCUGCGGAGGUAGACAUCAAGAAGGAGCAUCAAGUGUUGAUGGUUAACAAGACCACUAGUUUCAAGAAAAAAGGCAAAGGGAAGAAGGGGAACUUCAAGAAGAAUAGCAAGCAAGUUGCUGCUCAAGGGAAGAAGCCCAAGUCUAGACCUAAGCCUGAAACUGAGUGCUUCUACUGCAAAGGGACUGGUCACUGA
rnacentral:rRNA from 1 species